GAGUCACACUCACUCGCCUCGCGUCACCCACCCGUGACGUCACACUCGCCCGUGGCGUCAUUGAGCGGCUGAAGAUGGCGGCCCCCAAAUCAGUUGCAGUGACAAAUAAUGGUGUGGUGGGGAUCAACACUGUCACCAUUUGAAAGGACUGAACAUUGUGAGGAGCUCUGAACCCCCCUAAAAGGGUCUCUCUUUUUUGUAGAUAAAUAAGGUUUAAUAAAUUAGCAGCAAAACAGAAAUAUCUGGAACAAAGUGAUGAAGCAUUUGAGGAGAGAAGAGAAAAGUGAAUGUUUUAGCUGCACUGUCACCAUUUGAAAUAGGUGAAAGGACUGACCAUUCAGUGAGAGGAGUUCUAAAACUUCCAAGAAGGGUAUUUUUUCUGUUUGUAGAUAAAUAAGAAUUGUAUUGCAAAUUAAGAGCAAAACAGAAGUCCCUGGAAACUUAAAGUGAUGAAGCAUCUGAGGAGAGAAGAGAGGUUAUUGUUUUGGAGAUAUCUAUCGAAACAAGGUGGAUAUAAAAUUCAACAGGAUUUUAUAAAAAUAAUCAGAUGGGAACAGGAAACGCAUAAGAAUAUUAAGAGCAAAACAAAUCCUUGGAAACCUAAAAGGUUGUGAAACAUCUGUUAAGAGAAUAAUUACGUUAAUGUUUCAUAGUCUAUUGGAUAUUGAACAGUGUAUUUUGUAAAGAAUUAAAUGGGAACAUGGAAAUGCAUAAGAAAAUUUUAAAAUGAAGUUACUGGAAAUGUGAAAGAACAAUAAAACAACAGAAAAACUAAGCACGUCUGCGAAAAGAGAAACAAUUAAUAUUUCAGGCCUCCAUCCCAACAAAUGGGCAUGUUUCCACAGAAACAACCUCACCUGCUGAAGUUUUUUGCCUCCAACAUUUUGAGUUUUUAUUUUACAGCAUUUGAAUGUGCUCUGUCAGUGGUGGCAAAAGAAAGAGAUGGCUAGAAUGAUGAUUGAAGGCUUGGAUGCAGAGUGUUGCUAAUGAGGGAAUUAAAUCAAGAGUACUUGGAUGGAAAACAAUAUGAUUAAAUGACAAGAUGAAACGACUAAAUUAAAAAAAUAGAGCUAUAAAUAAAAUACAAAAUAAUUUCAGAGUUGACGUGGAAAAACUUUUCCCACUGAGAGUAGGGAAGAUUCAAACAAGGGGACAUGACUUGAGAAUUAAGGGAGUGAAGUUUAGGGGUAACAUGAGGGGGAACUUCUUUACUCAGAGAGUGGUAGCUGUGUGGAAUGAGCUUCCAGUGAAGGUGGUGGAGGCAGGUUUGUUUUUAUCAUUUAAAAAUAAAUUGGAUAGUUAUAUGGAUGGGAAGGGAAUGGAGGGUUAUGGUCUGAGCGCAGGUAUAUGGGACUAGGGGAGAUUAUGUGUUCGGCACGGACUAGAAGGGUCGAGAUGGCCUGUUUCCGUGCUGUAAUUGUUAUAUGGUUAUUAUAUGGUUAUAUUGGUAGGGAGAUGGAGAUAGCAGGAGCCGUAAUAUGUAGAAAUGGAAACACAAAAAUAAUUCAGAGUAAAGGCACAGGGAAACAAGGACAGUAAAGUACCCAAGGUGCGAACAACCCUACCAGCCUUCUGUUCCAACAAAUGAUCCCAAUUGGAAGAAUCAACUGAUUUCCUCUUGCCUCUGGAAAGCCUGUCCACAUUAAUGAUAUUCAUGCCCAAGAACAAGUGGGAAUUUUGAAGAUAGAAACCAAAAUGCUGAAGUAACUCAGCGGGACAGGCAGCAUCUCUGGAGAGAAGGAGUGGAUGUUUAAGGUCGAGACCUGUAUUAUGGUUGAGAUCUCAAGCCAUUGAAGUGGUUUGGAAGAUAUAAAGUUUAUCAGUUCCAUCAGAUGUUUUGUUCGAGUAACUACUGGGAGUUUUAAAAGUCACCAAAAAGAUUUAUCACGGUGCCAACUCAGGAUGUCUUGCCUCUAAAUCCUUCCUUCUGUGGCAAAGAAUUCCACAGAUUCACCACCCUCAAACCAAAGAAAUCCCUCCUCAUCUCCUUCCUAAAAGAUUGUCCUUUCAUUCUGAGACUUUGACCUCUAGUCCCAGACUCUCCCACGAGUGGAAACAUCCUCUCCACAUCCACUCUAUCCAAGCCUUUCACUAUUCUGUACGUUUCAAUGAGGUCCCCCUCAUUUUUCUAAACUCCAGCGAAUUUAGGCCCAGUGCCAUCAAAAGCUCAUCAUAUAUUAACCUACACAUUCCUGGGAUCAUUCUUGUAAACCUCCUCUGGACCCUCUCCAGAACCAGCACAUCCUUCCUCAGAUAUGGUCUCCAAAAUGGCUCAAAAUAUGGCAAAUGCGGCUGACCAGCACCCUAUAGACCAGUACUGACCGGAGCCUCGGAGGCUUCGGCCGCGGGCCCAGUGGACGACAACGUCGGGAGCUCGCAGGUCCCAGGUUGGUGACCGAUUCCCGGAGCUCCCGCAACAACAGCUUCGUCCGUUGGACUGGAGGGUGGCAGCUUCAUCCGCCCCGGGCCGCGGAGUUUGAACCGGCCUGUUCGCGGAGCUCUGAUUCGGCCACGGGACUUACCAUCACCCGACGGGGGGCCCAACAUCGAAUGCCUGGAUCGCCUCAACGCAGAGGGAGAACAAGGAAGGAAGAGAUAAGGACUUUAAGACUUUUGCCUUCCAUCACAGUGAGGAGGUGCCUGAUAGACUCACUGUGGUGGAUGUUAAACUGUGUUCAUUGUGUGUUCUGUUAUUUCAUUUUCUGUCAUGGCUGCAAGGUACGCAAUUUCGUUCAAACUAAAAGUUUGAAUGACAAUAAAGGAAACUCCAACUAACUUAUAGAGCCUCAGCAUCACAUCCCUGUUUUUGUUUGAAAGCCCUCUCGAAAUAAAUGGUAACAUUGCGUUUGUACCUCCGAUUUCUGGAUUCUCUCCUCAUUUAGAAAAUAAUCUAUGCCUUUAUUCCUACUUCCAAAAUGCAUGACUCCACACUUUGUUACACUAUAUUCCACCUGCCACUUCUCUGCCCACUCACCCAACCUAUCCAAGUCCUUCUGCAGAGUCCCUGCUUUCUCUACACUACCUGCCCCUCCACGUAUUUUCAUAUCAUCCACAAACCUAGCCACAAAGCCUUCAAUCCCCUCACCCAAAUCAUGAAUAUACAACGUGAAGAGCAGCAGCCCCAGCGGAACUCCGCUAGUCACUGGCAGCUGAACAGAAAAAAACCCUUUAUUGCCACUCUUUGCCUAUUGCUAUCUAGCCAACCUGAUAUCCAUGCUAGUAUCUGCCCUUUGAUACCAAGGGUCUACCUUAGCAUCUUCCUUAGCAGCCUCCCACGUGGCAUCUUAUUGGAAGAUAUUCUGAAAAUCUAGGCAUACAACAUCUACUGAUGUCCUUUCCUUUGUGUUUAAAUAGCAUGUGUUAAAUGUAUGUUUUUAGUGUUCUUUUGCCUUAGUCAAUAAUGCAUCUGCCAAAAUAAAAGUGAAGCUGCUUUAUCCAUUCACCGUCCAUAAUAGCCACCAGAAUUGACACCUUUUCUCAGAGUGACAGAAAGACAUUCAAUAUUUUAUUUAAUUAAGUUGCAGGUUGCCCAGCAGGAGUUUCAGAGAUCCACAGGUCUGCAUUUUCAAGGCAACCAGAAACGCAGCCUCAGGCUAGAGGGAUAAAUCCACCACCAGGUAUGUAUUCCCAUCCCUUUUCCUUUCAGCAGUUUGAAGGGAUUGCUCUCUUCAUGACUCUCUGGUCUGCUCUUCUAUCCCUGCCUACCACUUCUUUUCAUGUGGCACUUACCAAUGGAACCACAGGAAUGCAAAACCUGUUAUUUUACCUCUUCCCUUCCUGUCAUUCACAGACCGUCAUUCCAGGCAUGAAACAGUAAUUCACAUGUACUUUGUCCAAUCUGUUGUACUCACAAAGUGGCCUAUUCUGUAUUGGAGAAGUCAAAUGCAGAUUGGGUGGUUGCUUUGUGGAGCCCCUGUACGCAGGUUUAACUUUGAGUUUCCAGUUACUUGUCACUUUAAUUCAGCAACCCACUUCCACCCUGACUAUUCUAUCAAUGGCCUCCUGCGCUGUUACAACAAGUUUCAAUGCAAGCUUGAAGAAAAAUGCCGUCAUCUGUCUUGACACAUUGCAGCCUCAAAGAUUCCCUUUUCCUUUCUCUUUAUGUCAGAACAGGCCACUCCUGUCCAUUUUAUUUUGGCUCCAUUUUUCCUUCCUUUCAUUUUGCAUGGUUUACCCCUGCUGACCUUGUCCCACAUCCUUAACCAUUAGCAACACAUAGAAAAUAGGUGCAAGAGUAGGCCAUUCGGCCCUUUGAGCCUGCACUGCCAUUCAAUAUUAUCAUGGCUGAUCAUCCAACUCGGUAUCCUGUACCUGCCUUCUCUCCAUACCCCUUGAUCCCUUUAGCCACAAGGGCCACAUCUCUGUGUGUGAAAAAUGUUUUUCUCAUCUCAGUACUAAAAGAUUUCCCCUUUAUCCUUAAACUGUGACCCCUUGUUCUGGACUCAUUAUACAGACUAAGAAGCUUCAUUUGAUUUUAACUGCUUCUCACAUCAAGGCAUCUGGUCUCAUUCUAUCAGAGAUAUCCCUU